rnacentral:rRNA from 1 species
AUAACUACCGGAAACGGUGGCUAAUACGUGAUGCGACCGCUUCCUGCAUGGGAUGGUGGUGGAAAGUUUUGGCGGUGGGGGAUGAGCUCGCGGCCUAUCAGCUUGUUGGUGAGGUAAUGGCUUACCAAGGCUUCGACGGGUAGCCGGCCUGAGAGGGUGACCGGCCACACUGGGACUGAGACACGGCCCAGACUCCUACGGGAGGCAGCAGUGGGGAAUAUUGGACAAUGGGCGAAAGCCUGAUCCAGCAACGCCGCGUGAGGGAUGACGGCCUUCGGGUUGUAAACCUCUUUCAGUACCGACGAAGCGCAAGUGACGGUAGGUACAGAAGAAGCACCGGCCAACUACGUGCCAGCAGCCGCGGUAAUACGUAGGGUGCGAGCGUUGUCCGGAAUUAUUGGGCGUAAAGGGCUCGUAGGCGGUUUGUCACGUCGGGAGUGAAAACUCGGGGCUUAACUCCGAGCCUGCUUCCGAUACGGGCUGACUAGAGGUAUGCAGGGGAGAACGGAAUUCCUGGUGUAGCGGUGAAAUGCGCAGAUAUCAGGAGGAACACCGGUGGCGAAGGCGGUUCUCUGGGCAUUACCUGACGCUGAGGAGCGAAAGUGUGGGGAGCAAACAGGAUUAGAUACCCUGGUAGUCCACACCGUAAACGUUGGGCGCUAGGUGUGGGGCUCAUUCCACGAGUUCCGUGCCGCAGCUAACGCAUUAAGCGCCCCGCCUGGGGAGUACGGCCGCAAGGCUAAAACUCAAAGGAAUUGAC